rnacentral:rRNA from 1 species
GACGAACGCUGGCGGCGUGCUUAACACAUGCAAGUCGAACGGAAAGGCCCUGCUUUUGUGGGGUGCUCGAGUGGCGAACGGGUGAGUAACACGUGAGUAACCUGCCCUUGACUUUGGGAUAACUUCUGGAAACUGGGGCUAAUACCGGAUAGGUGCACCUGCUGCCUGGUGGGGGUUGGAAAGUUUCGGCGGUUGGGGAUGGACUCGCGGCUUAUCAGCUUGUUGGUGAGGUAGUGGCUUACCAAGGUUUUGACGGGUAGCCGGCCUGCGAGGGUGACCGGGCACAUGGGGACUGAGAUACGGCCCAGACUCCUACGGGAGGCAGCGGGGGGGAGUAUGGCGCAAUGGGCGGAAGCCUGAUGCAGCAACGCCGCGUGCGGGAUGCCGGCCUACGGGGUGUAAACCGCUUUGGCCUGUGACGAAGAGGGAGUGACGGUAAUGGGUAAGAAAGCACCGGCUAACUACGUG